GCCAAUGAGAGGGGUGAGAGGAAAAUCAUUGUUGGAAUGCCAUGUGUAACAUUGUUUUGGAUAAGGAUUUUCUUUUAUAAAGUAUAUAGAUUAACAAUUGGAAGAGUAAAGACCGCUAGGUUUUUUAUUUUUAUUUUUAUUUUUAUUUUUAUUUUUAUUUUUAUUUUUAUUUUUAUUUUUAUUUUUAUUUUUAUGUAGGAAAAGAAACAAACCAACAUCGGAGGGAGGGUACUUUCAAAUCUGCCGUCGAUAGCCCACCUGAGUUGCAUAUCUACUACUUCUUAUUCUCAAGUUUGCAAUUCACUAUUCCUACAAAACCUCCAAUCAGCUUUCGCCAUCUGGCUUUCUUUCCUUUAGUUUUAAUUUUUUUCCAAUGGCCUCUAGGAUACGACUAACCAUUCAUCAUCCCCAUCUCAAUCGCGUGUUGCCUCUGCUCUCCACCCACUCCGUCGUACGCUAGCUAGCAAUCGCGUGUUGCCUCUCCCUCUUCACCCACUCCGUUGUACCCUUCGUCAUCUUCUUUUUCAUUGAUUUCUCUUCUGAAAUCAACCCUAGCUAGCUUUCCUCUUCUCCAAAUCCAUCCAAACCCUAGAUGUGUUUCCGUGUUUAAGUUGCUCUUUCCAUCCACUUCUCACCAAUCCAUCAACUUCGUCUUUUCGAUUGAUCUGAUGUCGCCUUUGUCUUCGUCGCCGGUUGCUGUUCAUCCGCCAUUCCCUCUUCUCAGUUGCCGAACUUUUUGGGUUGAAUGCAUCUUCGAAGGUUGAUUUUGUGAUCAAAUGAUUCCAUUCAAAGCUUAUGUCCUGUAAGAGAAGCAUAAAAGAUCAGAGCAAGGGUGAUCAGAAAGGGAGCUCCAUAGUUGGCAAUUGUGAUCUUGAAUUUGCUGAAGGACUGUUUGUCGGCGGUAAAUUAUGGCCACUCCUAAACAUAUUAGUGAACUGAUACAUGUGGAAGGCAUGGCAAUGUACGAAUUCAAAAGCCACUUGCAAGGGGAAAUAUCUGAUAAAGACCAUGAAUGAGAACAGUGACAGUCAUCCUAAAUUACCAAAUUCAAACCAUUAAGCAUGGAACUUCUUGAAUUGUUUAGAGUUCUUAUGACUCUUAAAGUUGAAAGGCUUAAAGUUUCACAUUGGAGAACUCAACGAUCAUACCUCAUUGCUUAAAA